rnacentral:misc_RNA from 1 species
GGGCAACCUUUCUUCUCUUCGUUCCCAGUAAAUUGUGCAUUGUAAUUUGAAGUAUGUACCGACAACUACAGUCAUGAAAUGCCUCUGCAAAUUAAGGAAUCUCACAAUUGUUGAAUGCCCCCUUCUUGAGAAGAAUUGCGCCAAAGGGAGUAGUUAUGAAUGAUACAGGAUUUCUCAUCUCCCGUACAUAUAUAUAAGUCAAUUUGCCCUUCCUUUCUCCCAUUCUCUGCUCACUUUUCCUCCGACAAUCCAUUCUUUUUGUCUUCUUUUACAGAUUAAUUACCUUUUUUUUCCUUCUCUUUGGGCGUGGACACUGAACAAGGUUUAUCUAUGAAUUCUCAGUUAAUUCCAUGGAAAUGGAAACUUUUGGAUUAUAAAUCAAUAAUCCAUCUCCUGCACUCACUGCAUUUUUCAUUGGUAUGUCUGACUUCCCUUAUUGAACCCAUAUGCUAUGGUUUUUCCAUUAUUUUAUGAUAUAUUUCCUUUAUGUAAUGAUCUCUACAAACUUCCACUUUCGAAACCUUUCACAUGAACAGGGGCAUGACUUUGAUAUGAGAAAAUGCAGGUAGGUUUCCUUGGCAUGUUUCCUUUAAA